AUGGAUCUUUCCGACCUUAAUUCAGCUGAUAUGCAGAGAUUUUACUCUGAAGAACAACAAAGAGCCAUGAUCAAUGAAAUGGUGGCAAAGAUGACCAGUGAAUGCUGGGACAAAUGCAUCACAGGUACACCUGGGAAUAAGUUCAGUAACAGUGAAACUAAUUGCCUUACACACUGUGCACAGCGUUACAUGGAGAUGAGCAUGCUUAUCAUGAAGCGGUUUCAGAGUAUGCAAUGA